AUACGUAGGGGGCAAGCGUUGUCCGGAAUGAUUGGGCGUAAAGGGCGCGUAGGCGGCCUGGUAAGUCUGGAGUGAAAGUCCUGCUUUUAAGGUGGGAAUUGCUUUGGAUACUGCUGGGCUUGAGUGCAGGAGAGGUAAGUGGAAUUCCCGGUGUAGCGGUGAAAUGCGUAGAGAUCGGGAGGAACACCAGUGGCGAAGGCGGCUCUCUGGACUGUAACUGACACUGAGGCACGAAAGCGUGGGGAGC
rnacentral:rRNA from 1 species